AUUUAUACGGUGAAACUGCGAAUGGCUCAUUAAAUCAGUUAUCGUUUAUUUGAUAGUACCUUACUACAUGGAUACCUGUGGUAAUUCUAGAGCUAAUACAUGCUGAAAACCUCGACUUCGGAAGGGGUGUAUUUAUUAGAUAAAAAACCAAUGCCCUUCGGGGCUCCUUGGUGAAUCAUAAUAACUUAACGAAUCGCAUGGCCUUGCGCCGGCGAUGGUUCAUUCAAAUUUCUGCCCUAUCAACUUUCGAUGGUAGGAUAGUGGCCUACCAUGGUGGCAACGGGUAACGGGGAAUUAGGGUUCGAUUCCGGAGAGGGAGCCUGAGAAACGGCUACCACAUCCAAGGAAGGCAGCAGGCGCGCAAAUUACCCAAUCCCGACACGGGGAGGUAGUGACAAUAAAUACUGAUACGGGGCUCUUUUGGGUCUCGUAAUUGGAAUGAGUACAAUCUAAAUCCCUUAACGAGGAACAAUUGGAGGGCACCUCUGGUGCCAGCAGCCGCGGUAAUUCCAGCUCCAAUAGCGUAUAUUAAAGUUGUUGCAGUUAAAAAGCUCGUAGUUGAACCUUGGGUUCGGCCGGCCGGUCCGCCUCACCGCGAGUACUGUCCGGCCGUUCCUUUCCUUCUGGGGAAUCCCAUGGCCUUCACUGGCUGUGGGGGGAACCAGGACUUUUACUGUGAAAAAAUUAGAGUGUUCAAAGCAGGCCUUUGCUCGAAUACAUUAGCAUGGAAAUAAUAGAAUAGACGUGUGGUUCUAUUUUGUUGGGUUUCU
rnacentral:rRNA from 1 species